GAUGAACGCUGGCGGCGUGCCUAAUACAUGCAAGUCGAGCGAACAGACGCGGACCUUGCUGCUCGGACGUGAUGGGCGGCCAGGUGAGUAACACGAGGAUAACAUACCUAUAAGACUGGGAUAACAACCGGAAACCGGAGCUACUAACGGAGAAUAUAUUGAACCUCAUGGUUCAAUAGUGAAAGACGGAUUUGCUGUCACUUAUGGAUGGGUCCGCGCCGCAUUAGCUAGUUGGUGAGGUAACGGCGUACCAAGGCGACGAGGCGUAGCCGACCUGAGAGGGUGAUCGGCCACAAUGCAGCUGAGACACGGCGGAGACGCCUACGGGGGGCAGCAGUAGUGAGUCUUCCGCCACGGUCGGCAGCCUGACGGUGCAGCGCCGCGUGAGGGAUGAUGGUCUUCUUCUCGUAAUACACCGCUAUUGCGAAAGAACAAAUGUUUAAGUAAUUAUGCACGUCUUGACGGUACCUAAACAGAAAGCGACGGCUAACUACGUG
rnacentral:rRNA from 1 species